UUGCAGAAGACCAAUGUGGAAAGUGGCCUAGAACUUAAUGAGGUCUCAUUGCAGAAGAUUACCCAGUUUGAAACUGAGGACGUUGGUGCAGAAUCUGAUGAUAAUAACAAAGUCAAGUCAACAGAGUCUAGUGAGCAACGGGAUGAGGUUGAUGGUGAUAAUAACAAUGUGAGGCCGAUGGAGUCCAGCAAGCGAAAUGGUGAGGAUAGGGAUGAUAAUAACAAAG
rnacentral:misc_RNA from 1 species